GACGAACGCUGGCGGCGUGCUUAACACAUGCAAGUCGAACGCUGAAGCUUGGUGCUUGCACUGGGUGGAUGAGUGGCGAACGGGUGAGUAAUACGUGAGUAACCUGCCCUUGACUCUGGGAUAAGCCUGGGAAACUGGGUCUAAUACUGGAUACGACAUGUCACCGCAUGGUGGUGUGUGGAAAGGGUUUUACUGGUUUUGGAUGGGCUCACGGCCUAUCAGCUUGUUGGUGGGGUAAUGGCUCACCAAGGCGACGACGGGUAGCCGGCCUGAGAGGGUGACCGGCCACACUGGGACUGAGACACGGCCCAGACUCCUACGGGAGGCAGCAGUGGGGAAUAUUGCACAAUGGGCGGAAGCCUGAUGCAGCGACGCCGCGUGAGGGAUGACGGCCUUCGGUUUGUAAACCUCUUUCAGCACGGAAGAAGCGAAAGUGACGGUACGUGCAGAAGAAGCGCCGGCUAACUACGUG
rnacentral:rRNA from 1 species